rnacentral:rRNA from 1 species
UCGGGAAUUUUGGGCAAUGGGCGAAAGCCUGACCCAGCAACGCCGCGUGAAGGAUGAAGUAUUUCGGUAUGUAAACUUCGAAAGAAUAGGAAGAAUAAAUGACGGUACUAUUUAUAAGGUCCGGCUAACUACGUGCCAGCAGCCGCGGUAAGACAGAGGGUGCAAACGUUGUUCGGAAUUACUGGGCGUAAAGCGCGUGUAGGCGGCUUGGCAAGUCGGGUGUGAAAGCCCUGGGCUCAACCCAGGAAGUGCACUCGAAACUGCUUCGCUCGAGUAUCGGAGAGGAAAGCGGAAUUCUCGGUGUAGAGGUGAAAUUCGUAGAUAUCGAGAGGAACACCGGUGGCGAAGGCGGCUUUCUGGACGAUUACUGACGCUGAGACGCGAAAGCGUGGGGAGCAAACAGGAUUAGAUACCCCCGUAGUCCCUGAGCGGGCUGGCAAGGCGCAU